rnacentral:rRNA from 1 species
UUGGAGGGCAAGUCUGGUGCCAGCAGCCGCGGUAAUUCCAGCUCCAAUAGCGUAUAUUAAUGUUGUUGCAGUUAAAAAGCUCGUAGUUGAAUUUCGGGAUUAGUACGUUGGUCGUGCCUUCGGUACGUACUGGUGUUACUGAUUCCUACCUUCUGACGAACCAUCAUGUCAUUAAUUUGGUGUGGCGGGGAAUCAGGACUGUUACUUUGAAAAAAUUAGAGUGUUUAAAGCAGGCUCGCGCUUGAAUACAUUAGCAUGGAAUAAUGAAAUAGGACGUUGAUCCUAUUUUGUUGGUUUCUAGGAUUGACGUAAUGAUUAAUAGGGAUAGUUGGGGGCAUUAGUAUUCAAUUGUCAGAGGUGAAAUUCUUGGAUUUAUUGAAGACUAGCUACUGCGAAAGCAUUUGCCAAGGAUGUUUUCAUUAAUCAAGAACGAAAGUUAGGGGAUCGAAGACGAUCAGAUACCGUCGUAGUCUUAACCAUAAACUAUGCCGACUAGGGAUCGGAUGAUGUUAUUUUUAAUGACUCAUUCGGCGCCUUACGGGAAAC